GGAGAGAAGGAGAGCGAGCGAGCGGCUUGCGAGUUGGAGAAGACGCGAUUUGCCGCUCCGUCGUGUAGAGCACGUCGCCUCGACACAGACUGCGGCGGCCUGGACAACUGCCGCCCACCCAAGCUGCCUCUACCUCAAGCCUCGAGGUUCCAGAACCUACUCCUCGCAUGCCCCGCCAUUGCAGCUCGUUCAUCCUUCACUUUCUCCGUUCGUUGAACAGAGAAAUCGACACGUCGAGGGUCGGGGUGAAACCGCCUGAGAGCCGAACAGAGACGGGACCAAGAGACAGAUGCGAUAGACAAAGACCAGACAAGACCUCUGUCUUUUUGACAGCGAUGUACUCCGCCGCCGUGGAAUAGCUGCCGUUACAAACAGGUUCGUAGGGCAGGUCACGUAACGACAGGGGCGCGCCGUGCAAAAUACCGCGAAUCACGAAUUCAAUGCACCGAACACUGUGUGCCAAACAGGACAAGGAUUGUUCGCGUUUCACGCGUGAAUACGAUCGCGUUCUGAUAUUCAUUCAAUGCGGUAAUCCUCUACCGUUUACCGUUUCGAAGAGAAUUUUUCGACCUCCCUGGCUAAAGAGAAGAUCGCGAGUAAGAAAACGACGCCGUAUCCUAGCCGCGGGAGAACCCGACGCUAGCGUGAGAAUUCUUGCGAUCUGGCGCCAGGCCAAAUGUACCUCAUUUUUUCUUCGUCGAUCAUUCCUAACGUCGCCGAUAUUCUACCUCUUGUUUAUGCUCGCGGUGAAACUCGACGGCAAACGCGGCGUCGCCGCUAACAGAUGUGCACACUAAAUAUGUGACUCUGGCCCUGAUCGCUAAUCCUGCUCGCAAUCACAAAUGCACAAAUUUAUCGAUAUAUCUUCGAAAGUUUAUCUUAUCAAGAUACAUGAUAACAUUUGCGUCGUGUAAAAUUAUCCAACUAUGUUGCGACUAACUCGUUGACAGAAACUAGGUAUCGGCUAUUGUCUCAGUACAAAGGUGGAUGAGUAAGUACUCAAGUCAGUGAUUAAGGAAUCGAUUACCCUGAAUAACUGUUCAUUGCGAUUUAACGGCCGAUGUACCGUUUAAUUUCCGUUUUUUUUUAUGAUAAUCCCUACAAUAAGUUAAAUGCCAAGUGUAAUCAACGAUGUUCACGGCUAUAAUUUUAAAGAGACUCAACUCCAAAUAAUCUUCUUACAAACUACCAAAAAUUCUCGGCGUAUCCUCGAUAUACUGAUACUUGAUGGCCAUUUGUAUAUAAAUUUAAAUGACAGCUUCUCGCUGGACAAGGAGUGACCCAGCUGAAAACUGGAAAGAAAAUAAUUCGGUCGAACCGUUAGACCUCGAAAGCGUGAACAGAUAUACAAACACACCAAGGGUCGAAAUGAUCUGAAUUUCAAUAUGAGAGGCCUAAGCCUCUUGUAAGCCGAUACAUGUAUUGGGCACACAGCUAUUUACAGCUUCUAAUCUCAUCGGUUUUCCGGACGAUGAUCCAAGUCCUCACAAACGAAUUUUCGCGACUUUACCAAAUAGAACCGUUGGUACGAGUUGAAUGCACGCCUGCAGGUACCAAUUCGUCUCAAAUGAAAUAAUUUCCACUCUUCUAACGUUAUAUCGUAAUGUCUACUACAUAUUCGAUGAGUUCGAAGAGCGGUUCAUCGUUCCCGACUCAUGGCCUGGAUCCCACCGGGCAACUUUUUACCUGUUACCUUAAUUUUUUUUUAUCUUCCCUGCCUUGUUGGCAUGUACACACGGAUUCCUAACUGUACCGCCGAUCGCCAUGAAGAUUACUCCACGAAAUAUAUAUUAAAUCCCAGUUUGCGCCAAAGAAAUUUAGUCUGAUCUUGAACGCCGAAUUGGUAGAUUGGAACGUAUUCGUCCGGGUUAACGCUACAGAUGUUGGUCCGUGUAACGUUCUACUGGUUCCUCAAAGACAAGAAUCCUCGAGGAACAAGGGAGUGCGCGAUGAAGAAGUCUUACAAAGCAGGUAAGCAAGGAAACGGAGAGAGUAUCUCUCAAUUGUCAGACGAAUUAGUUUCAUGAAGUUAAUUAGACCGCCGUCUGUCCUUUCGGUUCGAGAGAUACUCGCGUGUUACACGCAGGUCUUUACUCGUUCUGAAAAGUUCUCCCGCGAAAAAUACAAUACGAAACACGGAUGCAUCGACCUCUUCAGAUACUUCGGGUACCCCGGGACAUCUAGCGAGCGGCUUGUGAAGCCUUGUACGUAGGCAAAGAAAACCAGACAUCGUAACAAAUGUAUGACUAACAGGUGCAAAAACAAUGCACCGGUUAAACUUCUGUUUCCACCUUCGACUUUCGAAACUCGUCGUAUAUCUGUAUUUUCCUUUUCAACUAUUGGCAUUAAAAUACUCGACAAUUUCGUGGAAAAGCAAGCGAACUGUGCUAUUCUAUUCUAUUCUAUUCUAUUCUAUUAGGAUCGGGAUUCAAUAUUAGAAAAGAAAUAUCUCGAACGAUCGAUGUAAAUGACACCACAGCGGAGCGUAUCUAAACGAAACGAGUUUGCCGCGAGGAAGGAAGUAACGAAGAGGAAGGAAAAAAAGUUGUAAGAGCAAAAAGAAGGAAGGGGGAAGAAGACGUUCUCGAGGCUGGGGCAUCGAACCAUGACCCGAGCACCUGUUGCCGCCUCCACGCUCCUAGAUUAAUGCGGACCGACCUAACCUGCCGCCUCCGCUCACUACUUGCCAUCGCGUAGGCAUAGUGAACUAGUACUAACCUCUCUGACGAACAUCUUAUGGACCGUGACCGGUGAAAAGCAUGGUCGUGAGUUCAUCGACGCGACGACGUGGUUGGAUCGUUAGCCGCAUAUUGCUCGGUUGUCUGCUCUCUUUGAUCGCGACACAAGUGUCUUCAUUCAUCGUUCUCGACCGGAACGCGUUCAAUGUGGUUAAAAGUCGUUUCGCCAGCCGAGAUUCGCUCGCGUUCUCGGAAAACCAUAAAUUAAUACAGCGGGGGGAGAAACGGCGUGAGUCUUGAGAGCAGAGAGGCAAUUGAGAGAAUCGGCCGCCGGUACUUGAUAGAACAACGGUUACUAGAGCAUUCACGAUAGCGUACCAAUAGGUCGUUAUAAUUAGAAACAAUUAUGCUCGCGUGCCCGAGAUGCGAUACUUCAAUACUGGCUCCCACCUACGGUAUAUUUACGAGAUAACGAGAGUUACGUUACGUCGAUCGAACACCAUUUUAACGACGCUACGCGAAAAUGGUGCGGAACCAAGCAGACCGCGCGCGCCGUUGCUUUUGUGAGCGUGAAUCAGAGCCUGUAAUUUCACGAAUCGGAUAUGUCCUACAUGCAUACGUUCAUAUGCAUACACACGAUUGUCCUAUGCUCGUCGAGGAAGGAAAAAAAAAGACUAGCGGACUCGAUAAUCGUGGAAGAGGUCCGUUUUACCGAGGUUUCGUUGCAUGUACGGAGGGAUAAAAUUGAUUCGAAGACUUAAGCGUCGCGAAGAACGACUUGCGACAGAGGCACGCAAACUGAAUGAAAAAUCUCUCACGUACAUGCUAAAUACAUGCAUCAACGGUGCAAAAGAUAGAUCGAGAGAGAUCCGAUACAAAGAACCGGAAGCGGAUGUGGUAACGUAUCAAGUCGAACUAAUUCUCAGGCGACGUUAAAAAAAAUUGAAACAUGCGUAAAUUCUUCGAUGUACAGCUCACCAUUCUAUUUUCAAACGGGUUUGCGCAUCACGAAGAUGUACACGAUACUCUAGAAGAAACGUUAUCAUAAAAUUCAGAAGUUUUCUACUCAAACGAGAAAGAUGUACAAGCAAUGUACAUAAUAUCAAGAAUCAGCGACAUCUGCGGAAAACAUUCUGCAAGUAACUAAUCAAGAUAACCGUUUCACCAAAAAUAAUGAAAUGUAACUGUGAUUCAGUCGAACAUAUCUGUUGAAAACUUGAAACAAAUAAUCAACUUUAUGUAAUACAAUGUGGAUGAACUGAUA